rnacentral:rRNA from 1 species
GCAAGAUACCACGGGCGCACGGCGGAUGCCUUGGCACAGGGAGCCGAUGAAGGACGCGGCAAGCUGCGAUAAUCCCCGGCGAGGAGCACACAUCCUUCGACCCGGGGGUCUCCGAAUGGGCGAACCCAUCCACAGCAGUGUGGAUAUCCCCACCCCGAACACAUAGGGGUGGGGAGGACAACCCGGGGAACUGAAACAUCUAAGUACCCGGAGGAGAGGAAAUCAAUCUCGAGACUCCCCGAGUAGCGGCGAGCGAAAGGGGACCGAUGGCCAAACCGUCGAGCGGGCAUACCCGGCAGGGGUUCCGCCGGCGGGGUUGCAGGGCCGCGCAUCCGGGGGCUGCCGCCCCCGGGCGCAGGUCCGGCUGGGGAGCGGAACGGCAUGGGAGGGCCGGCCGCAGCGGGUGACAGCCCCGUACGCGAACCCAGACCGGACGGCGCGACGCGGUCCCUGAGUAGGGCCGGGCACGUGAAACCCGGUCCGAACCUGGGUGGACCACCAUCCAAGCCUGAGUACUACCCUGUGACCGAUAGCGCACCAGUACCGUGAGGGAAAGGUGAAAAGCACCCCGGGAGGGGAGUGAAACAGUACCUGAAACCGUGCGCCCACGAGCAGUCGGAGCACCUAUACGGUGUGACGGCGUGCCUUUUGUAGAAUGAGCCAGCGAGUCGCUGGCGCGGGGCGAGGUUAACCGAAAGGGAGCCGUAGCGAAAGCGAGCCUUAACAGGGCGACUUGAGUCCCGCGCCGCGGACGCGAAGCCGGGUGAGCUAUCCGUGGGCAGGCUGAAGCGGGGGUAAGACCCCGUGGAGGGCCGAACGCACGUCGGUUGAAAACGGCGGCGAUGACCUGCGGAUAGGGGUGAAAGGCCAAUCAAACCCGGAGAUAUCUCGUUCUCCCCGAAAUAGCUUUAGGGCUAGCGUCGCGCGUUCACCGCCGGAGGUAGAGCACCGGAUGGACGAGGGGGCUUCGCCGCCUACCGAAUCCAACCGAACUCCGAAUGCCGGCGGCCCAGAGCGCGGCAGUCAGAGCAUGUGGGCUAAGCUGUGUGCUCGAGAGGGAAACAGCCCGGACCGCCCGCUAAGGUCCCCAAGUUCCAGCCGAGUGGCAAAGGAUGUGCGUCCGCCCAGACAACCAGGAUGUUGGCUUAGAAGCAGCCAUGCAUUCAAAGAGUGCGUAACAGCUCACUGGUCGAGUGGACAUGCGCCGACAAUACACGGGGCUAAGCUGGACACCGAAGCGGCGGGAUUUUAUCUAUAUAGAAUCGGUAGGGGAGCUUCCCAUGGGCGGCGAAGCCGCCGGGCGACCGGCGGUGGAGCGCAUGGGAGUGAGAAUGCUGGCAUGAGUAGCGAGAGACGAGAGAGUAACUCGUCCGCCGUGAACCCGAGGUUUCCUGGGCAAGGCUAAUCCUCCCAGGGUCAGUCGGGGGCUAAGGCGAGGCCGGAAGGCGUAGCCGACGCGCAGCAGGCAGACAUUCCUGCACCGCGCACGCGGCGCUACGACCGACGGGGCGACGGAUGGGGGUGGCUCGGCGGGGUUCUGGACGUCCCCGUGAUGGAGCGCGGCCCGCGGACCAGGGAAAUCCGGUCCGCACGAGGGCGAGGCUCCGGACGAAGCGAUCAAGCGAAGCGAGUGAGCCCGAGGUCCCUAGAAAAACCCCUAGGCAGGCGCGUGCGCGCCCGUACCGCAAACCGACACAGGUGGGUGGGUAGAACAUACCGAGGCGAUCGGGUCAACCAUGGUCAAGGAACUCGGCACAAUGGCCCCGUAACUUCGGGAGAAGGGGUGCCCGCGCGUACGUGAACCGGCUUGCCCGGGGAGCGGAGGCGGGCCGCAGUGGAGAGGCCCAAGCGACUGUUUACCAAAAACACAGGACUCUGCAGAAGCCGCAAGGCGACGUAUAGGGUCUGACGCCUGCCCGGUGCCGGAAGGUCACGCGGAGGAGUUAGCCGCAAGGCGAAGCCCCGAAGCCAAGCCCCGGUAAACGGCGGCCGUAACUAUAACGGUCCUAAGGUAGCGAAAUUCCUUGUCGGGUAAGUUCCGACCUGC